GGGGGUGUUCCGGUUUCGACGGGUAUUCGUGGUCUUGAACUGCAGGUGAGGUUGCCGGUCCUCUAAACAGGCGAAACUUAUAAUUGCCGAAAAUAACGACAAUUACGCUUUAGCUGCUUAAUUUCAGCUUAGCGCGGAAACAAGACGGUGCAGCUCUGAACGGUCUUGCUUUCUGUCACAAACCAGGGCUUGCUUUCUAAAGAGUCUAGGCUUUAGAGAGGACAUUUUCUAGAAUACGGAGGCGACGCUUUCGGUGCUGACACCGCCUCUCGACAACUACCUCGCACCGAUAAACCUGUAGACGUUCCUGGUCAGUGUAUUCGGACGGGGGUUCAAUUCCCCCCAUCUCCAA
rnacentral:tmRNA from 1 species